GAGCGCGUAGCUCAGCCGGUAAGAGCAACUGACUUUUAAUCAGUAGGUCAUGGGUUCGAAUCCCAUCGCGCUCACCA
rnacentral:tRNA from 1 species